AGCAGUAGCCGCGGUAAUACAGAGGGUGCAAGCGUUAAUCGGAAUUACUGGGCGUAAAGCGCGCGUAGGUGGUUUGUUAAGUUGGAUGUGAAAGCCCCGGGCUCAACCUGGGAACUGCAUCCAAAACUGGCAAGCUAGAGUACGGUAGAGGGUGGUGGAAUUUCCUGUGUAGCGGUGAAAUGCGUAGAUAUAGGAAGGAACACCAGUGGCGAAGGCGACCACCUGGACUGAUACUGACACUGAGGUGCGAAAGCGUGGGGAGCAAACAGGAUUAGAUACCCGAGUAGUCCCUGUCUCUUAUAU
rnacentral:rRNA from 1 species